GCACAACAGAUUGACACCCCUGGUGGCAGGUAGGGGACCUCUAAGGAAGUCCCUCCCGAGCUGCUCUGUCCAGCCAGGCCCCGGCAGCGUGUCUCCCCUCCUGGAGGCCUGGGCUGGUCACUGCAUGCUUGCUGGGGCACUAGGGGCACAGGUACAUGCUGGGCCUUGGUGGCCACCUCGUUGGCUAUGUGGAGAGAGACACUUGCAGAACCAGCAGAUGAGUGCAUGGCACACAGGCCUGGCAUGCUGUGCUGGUCUGGCUGCCCACUUCUGCAGAUGCCUCCUGUUCCGUCUCAGUAACACACCUGUGGGAGGUUGGAAAGGGAGUCUAGGGUCAUGUGCUUAAAAUGUGUGUUUUUUGCCUUGACAAUAGAAAGGAGAUCUUGAGUCUAACCCAAGUGUAAAUAGAGCUUUGGGUGCACGACAGUUAAGCAGUCAACGCCACCAUCCCUGCCUCCUAGGGCCAUGGCCAGCGUUCCUUGCCCAUCCUUCCCUGCAUCCAUUUCAGCACAGGUGACAGGGAGCCAACUGCUGACACCAGGAGCCUCUGCCCACAGCUGGUCCGUGUGUUAGUCCUGGCAGCCAUUAUCCACCACCAAGUGCAGCCCACGCUUCCUGCCUGCUGUCUCCCAUCAACCCUGGCCCUGCGGCACUCUUAAAACAGGCUCUGGACAUGGUGACCAGACCUGGGCACUGUCCUGCUGGAACCAUUAGUGUCUGGGACUGCUCUGGUGGACUGCAGACACGGCCCAGGAGGCCCUGCCCUCCCCAGCCCUCUGCCUGCUGGAUGCCCCUGGCCUCUCACUUUCCUCCUCCUCCGUCUGCAUCAGACUCCAGUCCCAGCAGUUCUCCCUGCUCGGCUUCACUUGGGAGACUUCCUGUUCACUUUGCCCUCUGCUUGGAAGGCCUGGGGUUCAACAUGCCUGGCUCUGGCACGUCUGAAGGCACAGUGGGCUGCCUCUAGGAUGCACUCGCUCAGACAGAAUUUGCUGCUUUUGGUAGCUGCACAUCACCACCGAAGUCACGUCGCCUCAGAAGCAAGCGUUGGUCCCUCUCUGCCUCAUUCGGUAGGUCGUAAACGCACAUGAAGGAGUGUCGGGGCUUGUUUGCUGGUGUGUUCCCAGGCCCAGGGCCGUUCUGGACACAAGAGCUGCCCAAGAGCGGGCUGCGUGGUGGAAAGGCUAAGGAGCUGGGGGAGAUGCUGGCCAAGGCGACCCUGCACUCAAAUGCCUGUGUCCAGCACCCUCCUGCCACGCUCUCCUUCACUGUCUCACCCCUGGUGGAGUCGUCCUGCUCACUCAGGAGGCCGCGGGGCGAGAUGGUGGCUGGGCAUCUGUGCAGGCAUUUAGUGUGGCUUUGAGGACUCGGGGACACCCAUGGUGUGAUGAGGUCUCUGACACGUGCUGUUCC
rnacentral:lncRNA from 1 species